rnacentral:rRNA from 1 species
CAGUCGCCACGGUAAUACGUAGGUCCCGAGCGUUGUCCGGAUUUAUUGGGCGUAAAGGGAGCGCAGGCGGUUUAGUAAGUCUGAAGUUAAAGGCAUUGGCUCAACCAAUGUAUGCUUUGGAAACUGUUAGACUUGAGUGCAAGAGGGGAGAGUGGAAUUCCAUGUGUAGCGGUGAAAUGCGUAGAUAUAUGGAGGAACACCGGUGGCGAAAGCGGCUCUCUGGCUUGUAACUGACGCUGAGGCUCGAAAGCGUGGGGAGCAAACAGGAUUAGAUACCCGAGUAGUCCCUGUCUCUUAUACA